UCCAGCCCCUCCACCCUGUCUUUCUGAGGCAGGGUCUCUCACUGAGCUUUGAAGUUCACUAAUUGGCCAGGCUUGCUGUCCGCGGGGCCCCAGGAUCCACCCACCUCAACCUCCCCAUAAAAGCUGAGUGUGCAUGCUGGGGCUCCGAACUCAGGUCUUCAUUCCCAGACAUCAAGCGCUUGACCAUCAGACCAGCCUCCCCAUCACCUUCCUUUCUCUCUCCUCAACUCUGACCUCUCUCUCCUCUUCCCUUUCUCCUUUGCCCUCUCGCUCGCUUGCUCCCUCCCCUUCUUUUCCAAUUCUCAACCCCACCAGCCUCCCAGUGGAUCCCUCUCCUGCCCUGUCUCCCUGCCUCCUGCCCUGGUGCUGGAAGGUCCCUCAGGCUCUGAGAGGGAGGUGGAGAAGGGACUUCUGUGACACAUUUUCUCUUUUCUGUCUGUCCUGGAUGCUGGACACUGCCUGGAGGAAUGGAAAUCAGGAGGCGGGAAGCAAAGAACCAGCUAUCUGCAGAAGCAGCCAGCAUCAGCAAUGGAGGACUUCAGCUGACUUCCAUUUCCCAGAUGAAAACAUCUCUGCAUGACGCCAAAGCUCAGCAGCCCAGGACCACCAACGCUGCCCCCCAUGGGGGCACCUCUGUGUGUGGAGGACCCCAGUACCAGCCUGGGAGGCCCACGUCUGCGGGACUCGGCCACCACCUGCUGACAUCAAGUGGACCUGCAGCCUGGCCGUACUAAACAACAGGAAAUUGUUCCCGAUGGUGGUGGAGGACGCUGUGGGAUGGGGGGGGGGGGUGGUACGACAUGGAACAUGCUGUGAAAAUAAACAUUUUUACUCCUAAUACACACA